rnacentral:rRNA from 1 species
CUACGGGAGGCAGCAGUGGGGAAUUUUGGACAAUGGGGGAAACCCUGAUCCAGCCAUUCCGCGUGAGUGAAGAAGGCCUUCGGGUUGUAAAGCUCUUUCGGCAGGAACGAAACGGUUUGGGCUAAUACCCUGAGCUAAUGACGGUACCUGAAGAAGAAGCACCGGCUAACUACGUGCCAGCAGCCG